UACAGUGAAUGCAUUAGAUUUGAUGGUUCUCCCGUUCUCACAAAUAAUGUAGUUCUCUCUAGAACCACAACCGAUAGAUAUAUAGAUAUAUAGAUAUAGAUUCUCUUUUGUUCUGUAUAGAACUCUUCUCUCUCUCUGCUCUCUACCGCCCCUCUCUGUCCCUCUCUUUCCCGGCGAGCGUCGCCGGCCUUCGCCGCCUCCGGCGCGGCGAGGUCGGCCUCUCCUCGUCCCCCUUCUUUUCUUUCUUUCUUUCUUCCCCUUUUCCUGAAUUAGAAAUAGAUCUAGGGUUUUCUUAAUUUCCUGAAGUCUGCUCCUCCGGUGAACUCCGCCACUGCCGCCGCCGUGCUCGUCGCACCGCCGCCCCCUCUGAUUCAGGAAUCGACCGGCGUCGUUGCUUGAGACGUCUCCGGCGCAACAGUCCUUUAUCAGCUCAAGAUCCUAUUUUUAUGAUUGUUUUCUUUAUUGCUUACUGAAAAGCUAAAGUUUUGAUAGAAGAAAGUAUACUGUUGUUAGUUAUGCUAUGCUUAACUUUGUAGUUAGGUCCAUUUUCCCUGUUGCUAAUAGCAUUCUUUACAUGUAUUGAACAAAAGAAAGACUACCUUCUUUGCUGUGAA